AACGCUGGCGGCAGGCUUAACACAUGCAAGUCGAGCGGGGAAAGGUAGCUUGCUACCUGACCUAGCGGCGGACGGGUGAGUAAUGCUUAGGAAUCUGCCUAUUAGUGGGGGACAACAUUCCGAAAGGAAUGCUAAUACCGCAUACGCCCUACGGGGGAAAGCAGGGGAUCUUCGGACCUUGCGCUAAUAGAUGAGCCUAAGUCAGAUUAGCUAGUUGGUGGGGUAAAGGCCUACCAAGGCGACGAUCUGUAGCGGGUCUGAGAGGAUGAUCCGCCACACUGGGACUGAGACACGGCCCACACUCCUACGGGAGGCAGCAGUGGGGAAUAUUGGACAAUGGGCGAAAGCCUGAUCCAACCAUGCCGCGUGUGUGAAGAAGGCCUUUUGGUUGUAAAGCACUUUAAGCGAGGAGGAGGCUACUUAUAUUAAUACUCUAGGAUAGUGGACGUUACUCGCAGAAUAAGCACCGGCUAACUCUGUGCCAGCAGCCGCGGUAAUACAGAGGGUGCGAGCGUUAAUCGGAUUUACUGGGCGUAAAGCGUGCGUAGGCGGCUUUUUAAGUCGGAUGUGAAAUCCCUAAGCUUAACUUAGGAAUUGCAUUCGAUACUGGGAAGCUAGAGUAUGG
rnacentral:rRNA from 1 species